GCCUGGGUGGCUCAGUCAGUUAAGCAUCUGACUUUGGCUCAGGUUGCAUGGGUUUGAGCUCCACAUCAGGCU
rnacentral:tRNA from 1 species